UACGGAGGGAGCUAGCGUUGUUCGGAAUUACUGGGCGUAAAGCGCGUGUAGGCGGCUCUGCAAGUCGGAUGUGAAAUCCCAUGGCUCAACUAUGGAAGUGCAUUCGAAACUGCAGGGCUAGAGUUCUGGAGAGGAAGGUGGAAUGCUUGGUGUAGAGGUGAAAUUCGUAGAUAUCAAGCGGAACACCGGUGGCGAAGGCGGCCUUCUGGACAGUAACUGACGCUGAGACGCGAAAGCGUGGGGAGCAAACAGG
rnacentral:rRNA from 1 species